UCGGGGAUCGUCUAAUGGUAGGACGGCAGUUUCUGGAGCUGCCUAUCUUGGUUCGAAUCCAGGUCCCCGAG
rnacentral:tRNA from 1 species